rnacentral:rRNA from 1 species
CUCAGGAUGAACGCUGGCGGCGUGCUUAACACAUGCAAGUCGAACGGUGAAAGAGAGCUUGCUCUCUGGAUCAGUGGCGAACGGGUGAGUAACACGUGAGCAAUCUGCCCCUGACUCUGGGAUAAGCGCUGGAAACGGCGUCUAAUACCGGAUACGAGCUGCGAAGGCAUCUUCAGCAGCUGGAAAGAACUUCGGUCAGGGAUGAGCUCGCGGCCUAUCAGCUAGUUGGUGAGGUAAUGGCUCACCAAGGCGUCGACGGGUAGCCGGCCUGAGAGGGUGACCGGCCACACUGGGACUGAGACACGGCCCAGACUCCUACGGGAGGCAGCAGUGGGGAAUAUUGCACAAUGGGCGCAAGCCUGAUGCAGCAACGCCGCGUGAGGGACGACGGCCUUCGGGUUGUAAACCUCUUUUAGCAGGGAAGAAGCGAAAGUGACGGUACCUGCAGAAAAAGCACCGGCUAACUACGUGCCAGCAGCCGCGGUAAUACGUAGGGUGCAAGCGUUAUCCGGAAUUAUUGGGCGUAAAGAGCUCGUAGGCGGUUUGUCGCGUCUGCUGUGAAACCCCGAGGCUCAACCUCGGGCCUGCAGUGGGUACGGGCAGACUAGAGUGCGGUAGGGGAGAUUGGAAUUCCUGGUGUAGCGGUGGAAUGCGCAGAUAUCAGGAGGAACACCGAUGGCGAAGGCAGAUCUCUGGGCCGUAACUGACGCUGAGGAGCGAAAGGGUGGGGAGCAAACAGGCUUAGAUACCCUGGUAGUCCACCCCGUAAACGUUGGGAACUAGUUGUGGGGUCCAUUCCACGGAUUCCGUGACGCAGCUAACGCAUUAA